rnacentral:rRNA from 1 species
UACGUAGGGGGCGAGCGUUGUCCGGAGUUACUGGGCGUAAAGCGCACGCAGGCGGUGCGGCACGUUUGGGGUUACAGCUCCCGGCUCAACUGGGAGAGCGCCUCGAAGACGGCGGCACUUGAGGGCCAGAGAGGGACACGGAACUCCGGGUGGAGUGGUGAAAUUCGUAGAUAUUCGCAAGAACACCAGUGGCGAAGGCGGCUCACUGGCCCGAUACUGACGCUGAGGCACGAAAGCGUGGGGAGCAAACAGG